rnacentral:rRNA from 1 species
GAAAGAUUCAUCGGAAGAGGAUGGGCAUGCGGCGCAUUAGCUAGACGGCGGGGUAACGGCCCACCGUGGCGACGAUGCGUAGGGGUUCUGAGAGGAAGGUCCCCCACACUGGUACUGAGACACGGACCAGACUCCUACGGGAGGCAGCAGUGAGGAAUAUUGGUCAAUGGGAGAGAUCCUGAACCAGCCAAGCCGCGUGAGGGAAGACGGCCCUAUGGGUUGUAAACCUCUUUUGUCGGAGAACAAAACCCGGGACGAGUCCCGGACUGCGUGUAUCCGAAGAAAAAGCAUCGGCUAACUCCGUGCCAGCAGCCGCGGUAAUACGGAGGAUGCGAGCGUUAUCCGGAUUUAUUGGGUUUAAAGGGUGCGUAGGCGGUCUGUUAAGUCAGCGGUAAAAUUGCGGGGCUCAACCCCGUCGAGCCGUUGAAACUGGCAGACUUGAGUUGGCGAGAAGUACGCGGAAUGCGCGGUGUAGCGGUGAAAUGCAUAGAUAUCGCGCAGAACUCCGAUUGCGAAGGCAGCGUACCGGCGCCAGACUGACGCUGAGGCACGAAAGCGUGGGGAUCGAACAGGAUUAGAUACCCUGGUAGUCCACGCAGUAAACGAUGAAUGCUGGUUGUCCGGGUCGAAUGAGACCUGGGCGGCGA